CAACUGUGAGUGUGCUUCCAAACCUUCCAGAGAAAGUUUUCCUUUCCUUCAGCCGAGGCUGCAUUUUUCUACCUAAUGAGGUCCUGUGACUUGCAGCCCCCAUUUCUGGAGGCACCACAGUCUUCCAGAAAGGCUGGCUGGGAGAAUGCUAAGACUCAAGAGAUAAUAGAGUCAGGUGAGUGGAUAAACCAAGUGUGUUGUAGACACACAACAGAAUAUUCCUCAACUUCAGAAGGAAGGAAGGCUGAUGUACUUCAUACCAUGGAUGAGCCUGGAGGGCAUUACCCAAAGUGAAAGAAGCCAGACACAAAAGGACAAACACUGGAGAUUUCUUCCCUGGACGACAGAGUUGUCAGAUUUAUGGAGACAAAAAGAAGAACGGUGGGUGUCAGGGCCUGGGGGCAAGGGUGGAUGGGGAGUAUUGCUUAAUGGGUCCAGUGUUUCCAUUUGGGAAGAUGAAGAAGUUCUGGAGCUGGAUGGUGGGAAUGGUGGGACAACAAUGAGAAUGUACUUCAUGCCACUGAACUGUGCACUUCAGAUAGUUUUACAUUGUAUUUCAGCAUGAUUAAAACAAAAAGGCUGUGGAAACUC
rnacentral:lncRNA from 10 species